CCUCCGAAUUGGGGAUAACAUUGCGAAAGCGAUGCUAAUACCGAAUGACAUCUCAAUAACUCCGGUCUUUGAGAUCAAAGGUGGCCUCUCCAUGGAAGCUACUGUUUGGAGAUGAGCCCGCGUACCAUUAGCUUGUUGGUAGGGUAAUGGCCUACCAAGGCGACGAUGGUUAGCUGGUCUGAGAGGAUGAUCAGCCACACUGGAACUGACACACGGUCCAG
rnacentral:rRNA from 1 species